UUGUGAUCCUCCUGCCUCAGCUUCCUGAAGCUAAAACUACAGGGACGAGGUGAGCUGCUUUGUUCUACCGCACACAUCCUGCCCUAAUGUUCUGCCUUCCCAGGGGCCCCAAGGCAAUGCAGCCGAUCAGUAUUGGACUGACACUUCUGAAAACUUUUAUGCCUGCAUCACCUACAUUUCCCCACUCCACGGCUUUGGAGAACAGAACAUCUUCUCCUGUCAUCUGUUCUCCGUUGGAGGCCGCAUUCCAACUGGCAGGACCUGUGAGCACAGCAGGGGCCAAGUCCAUCUCAAGGUACAGGUGAAGAGGAGGUCCCAUCGCCUCGGGGCAGGAGGCUCCCUGGCAGACAGGGCGGGAUUCCUGCUGGAGAGAGAGUUAAAGUGUGGGGACUCAGUCACAGAGCAAGCUUUGGCAUGAUGCCACUCUCGCACGAUAGGCCGGCCGGGCUUGGCUAACCAUGAUCCUUUUCCCCCUUGGAUCCUCAACAGCUGGAUGAGGACUUCGUGGAGCCACUCACCUGCAGGACGGCCUCCCUGGCUACCCACAUUUGGCCCGCUCACUGGAAUAGUGAUUUAUACCUGGGUGCCAGGGUCCGCAGCAUGAGGGGAUUACACUGGAACCUGUGGCUAUUUAGGGGAAGAGACAGGAGGAAAAACGGCUGUACUGGUGAGUUCUUGUCCCACCCAAACCCACGCAGCUCCAAGAGGCUGGCACAGCAGGGAGAGGGGGAAAGGCCCAGAACGGGCUCAUUUCACCCCUCUCCUCCGCACUCCCUGGGUUCACCUGAGCAGGGCCAACACAGGCUGCCUCCAGGGGUGGCAUCAAGGUAUCCUUUUGGUGGAGAGGCACUAGCUCAGCUCCUCUGGGGACACUGAUCCAAGAGCAAGGGGGCUGAGGGUUCAAGGCCACCCUCCUCUCAGUUUGGGAAGGUGGUUUUUCAGAACGGGAUUCAACCCAGGACCUUCACACUUAGCCAUGUGCUCAGCCCUUAUUCUUUUGAGGUGGAGUCUCAGCAAAUUGCUAAAUUGCCCAGGUUGGGCUUGAAUUUGCAGUCUCCCUCCCAGAGGCUGGGAUUACAGGCUUGUACCACCCUAGCCAGCCCCUCUCCCCUCAAUCAACUGAGACAAAGAUCCUUCUCCAGGGCUCGGUGGCAACUAUUCAAUUGGCCUCCAUGGCAAUCAGUUCUCGUCUCAGCGACGCAGGCUGACACACUGACAUCUUGCCUUUAUCCUCAGACCCAGCCAGGACUCUAAGGCACCAGCUAGCUGGCUUAUUAUGAAGUCAGACGACAGACGACAGAGAACAGAAUCAUACCACCCCCAAGGUGUCAGGUCCCAAGGGCUGACAGAGCUGGGCCAGUACAGAACGUAUGCCAGCUGGUACCACCGCCUUCUGGGGAACUCGAAGGAACCACUAGUUCUAAGGAUUGGCCCUCCAGCUGGCACAGUACCAGGGGACCCCUUCCCACGAACUCACGUCUGCUUUAACCUUAAUGACAGGCUGUGGGCUCCCGUGGCACUGAGAUGGCAGGGAGAGCCAUCUGGACACAAUUCCUUACUUCUCCUCCAGUGUUGGGCCGAGGGACUCUUGCAGGGAUGCCGGCUAGAGGGCAGCUGGGCUUCUACCACAGGAAUCUACGCUCCUGGACACUGACUCCCAGCCUGGGGUCUCCAGUCAGGAAUCCGACUCAGUGUUCAGCCAAGUCAGGCCAUACCAGUCUGAGGCAGGACUCAGGAGUUCUGUCCCAAAAGUAGUUUCUCUGUACCCUUCCCCCGCCUUUGUAUCAUUUUCAAGCUUCAGUGCAGACUUUCAUCUGCUA